rnacentral:rRNA from 1 species
UACAGAGGUCUCAAGCGUUGUUCGGAUUCAUUGGGCGUAAAGAGUGCGUAGGCGGCGCGGUAAGUCGGGUGUGAAAUCUCGGGGCUUAACUCCGAAACUGCAUUCGAUACUGCCGUGCUUGAGGACUGGAGAGGAGACUGGAAUUUACGGUGUAGCGGUGAAAUGCGUAGAUAUCGUAAGGAAGACCAGUGGCGAAGGCGGGUCUCUGGACAGUUCCUGACGCUGAGGCACGAAGGCCAGGGGGAGCAAAACGGG